rnacentral:misc_RNA from 1 species
GAUGAAGAACGUAGCGAAAUGCGAUAAGUAGUGUGAAUUGCAGAAUUCAGUGAAUCAUCGAAUCUUUGAACGCACAUUGCGCCCUUUGGUAUUCCUUAGGGCAUGCCUGUUCGAGCGUCAUUUAAACCCUUCAAGCUCAGCUUGGUGUUGGGUGACUGUCCGCCGCCCCCGGGCGCGGACUCGCCCCAAAUUCCUUGGCGGCCGGUACGUAGGCUUCGAGCGCAGCAGAAACGCGAACUCGGGCCCGCGGUGUCGGCUCCCAGAAGCCAUCUCUUUUAUUUUGACCUCGGAUCAGGUAGGGAUACCCGCUGAACUUAAGCAUAUCAAUAAGCGGAGGA